CGUUCCACAGGGCUCGGAGGGAAGCAGCCAGGGAGAAGUAAGGCAGGCUGGGUACCAUGGCUAUGGCAGCAGGAAGCAUUUUAUAACGGGCCAGGAAGGGCCUCUACAAUGGACCGGGAAAAUCCUUCAAACUCUUCUCAGAGCUGGGCUAGGAUUUUCCUUCUCAGCAGAGGGAUCACGAAUGCCCGCCCUCCUCGGCAGCAGCGAGCAGGUCAGAAACUGGCAGGCUUCCAGACCGUGAGCUCAGCUCCAGUUCCAUUUCCCACCAACAGGAAUGAUGCCUGCAAGUGACUCCCAGUGGGGACCACACCUCAUCCCGAGCCCCGAGUAUGGCCUGGGCUACAGAAAACUAAACGAAGCUGCAAAAGGACAGGCUCAGAACAGGUGGCUUUCUCCUUUACACAGAGCAAGGGCUCCCUCUCACCCACAACAUGGCCCGAUGUCCAGCUGUUUGUGGGAAAAAUUAAGAUCAGUUGAAAUCAACAACUGUGCAGCAGGGAGGUGGUGAAUGGAGCCAGGAAAAUUCCUUGGGCCCAGUCAGAAGGCACGCUCAACCACGCUGCUGCCCUGGGGUUUAUUGGUUACCGAUUAAUGUGAUAAACUACAAGCCAGUACUUCGUCUUGUUCCAAACUCUCGGACAUUUGUUCUGGAGUUAUUUAUUUUGGAAUUUUCUCCCAUGCCAUUCCACAAGGCUGUGAGGUAGCAAUUCCAUGCAUCCGAUCCUGGGCUACUUUAUCCUUCGAAUGCAGCCGUACCCUGACUUUGCUGAUGGGAUGUCGGAAGCACUUAUUGUCCCCGGUCUCGCUGAGUGUGAUGGCAUAGAACUGUCCUUUGUUGAGAGACACAACACAGCAUAUGGCAAAAGAGAUGAGGCCAGACCAAAGGUCAUCGCUACUACAAUGCAUACAACAUUUCUAAUAGUGGCCCAUAAACCAGAUGGUUCAGAAGGGGAGAAAGUCCACGAUGCGUGUGGCCGUGUGUGGUUUGAGCAGAGCACACUGGCAGGUCUCAGCGGUACUCGAGUGCAGCCUGAAGCUUACAAACUGAUAACCUCUGCCAGAUGUGAGUGCUUCUGUCCAGCCUGGGACACCUAACUUUCUUUUCUUCUUCUUCAAUUUUUAUUCAUGAUAGCUAACUACCUUUUUAUCAAGAUGUUGCAGAUACCCAUAUCUCAAUUAAAAAUAUUUCAGAAUGUGAAAAACCAAAACUACAUUCACUACCGAGAAUCUAGUUCCCUAACGGGAGAGCUGUUUUUGUUUGUCCACUUGGUUUUGUCUUUUGUGUCUGGUUUUUAUGCCUGCAGAAGAACUCAAGACACAUCUGCUGUAAAUCAAGGGGGUUGCAAAUGAUGGUUAGGGAUUCAAAGCCAGCUCACUGGCUGUUUUUGUAAAUAAAGUUUUAUUGGCACAAA